GUACCCCCGGAGAACAGAAUAGGGCAUUUGGAUCCCCCAGAACUUGAGUUAUAGGCAGUCAUGGUGAGCCCUCUAGCACAGGCCAGGAGCCCUCGGAAGCCAUUGACCUACUUUCUAAUUGACACCCAUCACCUUGACAUCCAGAAGGAACCGCUGGGCAUCCUGGUGUCCUGUGGCCUGUCUAUCCCCAGAUCAAGGCAAGGGUUCUUUUUCAUAAUGCGGGAGAUGGAGAGAUCAUCACUUCUACAGAAAUCGUUGUUGUCAUAAACGUGUGUUUUCUCAACUCAGUAGCACAAUGGCUAGCAGAGGGACCUGCAGUGGCCUUCAUGAUCUGCAUACAGCAUGUGUCACCAGCACCUGCCAGGAGGAAGGCGCCCGACAGCCUGACCUCCCUGUGCCCGUGAAACAAACAAGUCAAAGGAAGAUUAAAGAUUACCGAGGAACUCAGGAGUCUGGGAACAUGUGGAGGUCAGAGAAAAAUUUUGAGGAUUCACUUUUCCCUUUCCACCACGUGGGUUCUGAGGACUAAAGUCAUUGUAACAGGCUUGGUACCAAUCAUCUCCACCCACCGAGUCAUCUCAUCUCCCUACACCCAGCUCUAUGGGACUUUCCCACCUGGAUUCAGACUCAGGCCUUCACACUUGUGCGGCAAAUGCUUUACUGGCUGAGCUAUUUUGCGAGCCCAGAACCACCUUUUAUGGCCAACGAUGCUACCUACCCUUUUAAAUUAAGCAAACCCACAAGGAAGGCCAAGUCGCCUCUUGGGGCUUGCCAGUCUCAGGACCAUAUGGGACUCCGGGCUUCUGUCUCCACUGUCUCCCUGCUGUCUCUCAGCUCCAUGUCCCUUCCCUGUUUGAGACUGAAGAAGCUGUCUGAGCUUCCCUUCUCAGACGCCCUUGCCAGCUGGCUCUUAAAGGAGACAGGGUGGGCUGCCUUCCUGCUUUCCAAUGCCAAUCAGCACGGCUGGCAGACGUGGAAGAGCGCCCUGCUGCCCACUUAAUUAUGCUUCCUCUGGCCACGCUGCGCUUGUAUAAAGGCAGUAGCUGUGUUGGAGACCCUUUGCGGCUGUACAGCCAACCAUGCUCUCUCUUCUCUUUCUUACCCCAAGAGAUUUCUGUACUCUUCAUCAUCCGAGGGCACUCUGCUGGUGCCCACCUUGGAGGCCCAGGCACCAGCAGAGCAAAGCUGCCCACAUUGGACCUGCUCCGCCAACAGUUCCUGGCCUUCAGCAGUGGAGCAUGAGCUGCCCGGUCUGGACCCCCUGCCUCCGCCACACAACCAGCAUCUGAGUGGAACACCUCCCUCCAGCUCCAAGAACUUCCCCACACUCCACCCCGUCCGUCUACAGCCCUGCGGAUGGUCCUUACUGCCUGCUAGGAAACCUCUUGGUUUCUCAGGCCUCCCCCUUUUGUUUAUUCAGCUUCCCCACACCCGUGGAGCUGAUUCUGCGCUUGGUGUGCCUGGCAUGGUUUCUGUUUUCUUGACUAGAACAUGACUCAUGCCCCCCUACUGUUACUGGACUCAGGGUCACAACCUGUGCUUUAACAAAUAGGGUUAGGUCACCCUUGAUGAGUUAAUUUAAAAAGCCAAAUUAACAGUGAUAAGCAGAAAAGGGAGAUUUAUUUAAUGUGGCCCCGUUGGGAAGAGACAGGGAGAUCUGAUGACCAUCCUCCUAAUCCAUCUUUGAGUCCUGAAGUGAGGGUGACAUUUAAGUAGAAGAUCAAGGUUAUGCAUGUUUAAGCAGUCCCUAGUCAAGGUGUGGUCCUGACCACCACUGACUUGCCAUUGCCCAUCUGUACGGUGGCCUGUCAAGUGGUCGAUCCCUUUCUUGGAGAAAAGUGUCCUCUCUGGCUGUCCCAGGCUUUAGGCUUUCUUUCUUUCCAGCACAAGGUUCCUGAGGAGGAAUUUCCCAUUUAUUGGAGUCCAUAGCGAGGGAGCCAUGUGUCCCUUCAGAAUAUCUUCAGCCCUGCCAAGUCUGAUUGAUCAGGGUGUUAGAAAUGGAGCAUGUAGGAAACAAUAUGGUGUUGACUUGCCUGUUGCUAUGUUAAAAUGAAUUCUGAGACCCCGAUGAAAUCCUGUGUUUUGUCAAGUGUGGCACACAGGGGGAUCCUAAGUAAUCUUUAUAUAUGCUGGCUUGCAGCAAAAUGCUUGUGUUGGUCAAAUGGUGGCUUCUGAUAGAAAAUUACAAGCUCGGGCCUUUAAAGCCUCAACUCGGGUUAUUGGUGAGCUAACUUACCACACACAGGAUCUAUAGAUGUGCAGAGUCUAUAGAUAUUCCUGAUAGUGGGAGGUGCAAGCUGCAACAACUUCUUUUUUGCUUUGGAAAUGAAAUCCUGGCAUUUUCUACAUCUCUGGAGCCCCUGGAAACUGGAGAAGUGCUGUGGGGGUGGGUGUCUCAGUAAGGGCUCCGGGUAUGAAGAUAUUUCCACCCUAUGUGAUUAUUCACUCGGUGACAUUUCCAGUAAGCUCUCAAUACUCAAAUGAAUACAGGAUGCACCCUACUUGUAGACAGAGCUGCCCCUCCACCUUCUCGGCUGCUUAUUCAAGGGCCCAUGUGCAAUAUGUUCAUUUUAGCAGUCCAUGCAUUGCUCCGGAUAUGGCCUUUUCCUUACCAAGGUAAAGUGAGUUGCAGCAUCACAGAAUGUGUAAUCUGUGGAAAGCAGAGACACACACUGAGUCUUAACUGUGAGGGCCCCCUGUAGGCAGUAACUCCACUGGAUUCCUUUUUGGAAGGGUAGGAGCUGUUGGCUGCUGACCCUUUCUCUAGAGGGCAUUGUCUCUUCCCUGCAGGGUUUUGGCCACAUUACUGUCUGUGGAUGUCUGGAAUAUCUUAGCUGUGCUCUUGAGUUCUGGUCAUAGACUUUAUUUCAUAGCAAAAGAAGUAAUGCAUCUGGCUUAGUAGAAUGCUGGAAUGGACAGAUGAACCGGUUUUAUAGAAGCUUUUAUUGUAGCUACCUGACUUUAUAAUUUCAUCUCUGGCUUACAGAAGCCCAGUGGCAUUGCAAAGGAAGUGAGGAGAAGAAUUCACAACAAUCUGAGACAGGGACGGGACUGUGGGGACUCUGAUCCUUGCCCUUUUGGAUUGUCUUCAUCUGUAGCAAAGAUUGUUGUGUCUCAUUGCAUGGAAACAGGUUGUUACUGCCGUGUGAAAUGUCAAGGAAGAGUAGAUUGUGCAUGGAUAUUGACCAAAGAGCUUGUUACUGAACCACCGUUAUGAGAAUGGAUGUCGAGGGCAAUUCUAUAUUCUGUUCUGGGAUUCUGGGGCUGAGACCGGAAAACUACACGUCUCAAUCUCCUUUGCCAGCUUUCUGACAGGUCUGCUUAUCAAAACACUGAAGGAGAAUUGGACAGUGGGAUACAAACCUACAAGGAACUUUCUUCCUGUUCUCUGAUUCCUCCUCAGUGCUUCAACAUGUGCAAACAUUAGGCUCCAACUACCACCUCUCUGACAUUAGUGGGGUAAGUCUUUCUUCUGAUGGUCAUCCCAGCUUAGUCUUCAGUGAAACACCAUGCCUUCCAGGAACAGGACCUCAUACACACUAGGGCAAGCGCUCUAGCCUACCCUGUCCCUCUGCUUCUGUUUUUAAUAUCUGAGUUACUCAAGAAUCUGUGUUUUGUCUUUCCAACAUCUGUGCAACCAAUUCCCCAUGGGAUUAAAUCCUCUUUGUUUGGAAUGCCUGACGUGACUUACACUUUUUCAGAGGGCCGGAGUUGGAUUCCCAGCACUCACACCAGGUGGGUCACAACCAUCUGUAACAUGAGGUCCAAGGGAUCUGAUGCUUUCUCCUGGUCUCCAUGGGCACCUGA